rnacentral:hammerhead_ribozyme from 1 species
AUCCAUCUGAUGAGUCCCGAAUAGGACGAAACGUGCAUCCUUGAU